rnacentral:misc_RNA from 1 species
GAUGAAGAACGUAGCGAAAUGCGAUAAGUAAUGUGAAUUGCAGAUUUCAGUGAAUCAUCGAAUCUUUGAACGCACCUUGCGCCUUGUGGUAUUCCACAAGGCAUGCCCGUUUGAGUAUCAUUAAAUCAUCAACUCUAAAACCUUUGUGGUUUUUUUUAGAGCUUGGUCUUGAGGGUUUUGCAGGCUUUUUUUUUUUUUUCGAGUCUGCUCCCUUUAAAUGCAUUAGCGAGACUUACCUAUGCUGAACCGUCUCUUUGACGUGAUAAUUAUCUGAGUCGAAUUUUGGUUCUCGUUGGGCUUGCUUCUAAUCGUCUGUUAAAGACAAAACGGAUUUGGGUGCAUAUAUGCGCCUUUUUCCAAAACCUUUUUUUGAUCUCAAAUCGGGUAGGACUACCCGCUGAACUUAAGCAUAUCAAUAAGCGGAGGA